rnacentral:rRNA from 1 species
AGCAGUCGCCGCGGUAAUACGAAGGGUGCAAGCGUUAAUCGGGAUUACUGGGCGUAAAGCGUGCGUAGGCGGUUUGUUAAGUCUGUUGUGAAAUCCCCGGGCUCAACCUGGGAAUGGCAAUGGAUACUGGCAAGCUAGAGUGUGUCAGAGGAUGGUGGAAUUCCCGGUGUAGCGGUGAAAUGCGUAGAGAUCGGGAGGAACAUCAGUGGCGAAGGCGGCCAUCUGGGACAACACUGACGCUGAGGCACGAAAGCGUGGGGAGCAAACAGGAUUAGAUACCCGCGUAGUCCCUGUCUCUUAUAC